CUCUAGGUUAGGAUAAACUGUUAAGACUUAAAACUUACUCAUUUUACCUUUCACCAUGGGGCUUGCAACCGUCACUUAUGUCUCGAGCAAUUAAAAGAUAGAACGGUCAAGUCAAGCGCCAUGACUGUUGUUCUUGAUCAACUAUAGCUCUGGAGUUUUUGCAGAUUUUCAAAUAAAACUCAGAGAUUCCUUGUAUGACUCUCUUAGAUCUCUCUUUUGUGGUAUUCCUAGAUCCUUACCAAGGCAGUGAUGGUAUAUGCCUUCUCUCAAAGUAUGUGGUAUUUGUGGUAGGAAGCAUAGUGACAUUGCCUUCUCUCUCACCCUACUCUAAUAGGGUUUUGAUAUCUGGAGCUCAUAGGUGGGAGAUAAAGCAUACGUACUUACAAGACAUUUAUUGCAUAGUCAAACCAUGGAUCCAGAGAAACAAGUCAAUAAGUCAAUAUCAAGAUGUGCAUGUGUGGCGAAUGAAUGGUGUAUGGUGAUGAUGGUGGAAACAAUGGUAAAAGUCUAAUUCUACUUUUGCUCUUUUGAGGGGAUACAUACCUGUCUUGCACUUUGAAGCUUUUUGAGGAGAAUGAGAUGCUCUAUGUUUUCUUUUUCUUUUCUCUCAGGUGGGUAUCUUGUACCCCUAAUUCUACUGUCGGACACUUGUCCAUUUUUACCUCUCGUCUCACUUUUUCUUUUCUUCGAGGUUUCGGGCACUUGCCCCUUUUUAUUUCCUCGUAUUUUUUCCACUUUUUUUUAGAGCACUCACCCUCCUAGAAUAAUGUAGCAAGUGGUAGUAGCCAAAAUAUCUCGAGCAUUUAUUUCAUGGGGAAUAACAGGGACAGGAUAAUGUUUUUGGCUAUUCUCUCCUGGUUAGGAGUAGAAUAAUUUUGGGUGAAUCUGGAGAUGGAAAUGAGUGAAUAUAUAUGGAUGUGUACUUCCGAAGUAGAAGCAGCAUGUAUGAGUGAGCGUGCAAGUGAAUCUUGAUUUUAACCGCAUGACAAGCUCCUAAGGGUCUACAUAGCUUGACCACACUCAAUGCUCAUAAGUAGUAAAGUAAAUGAAUGGUUCAUAGUCUAAUAAGCAUGUAUAUGUGGUUGUGGUAGGAUUUUAAACUCUCAUCAUACAGGAACUCAUCACGCAAGAUUUUAAAGAUUUUCAAAGAUAAAAUUCUCCAGAAUUCUAGCAUCUCUAGGAACAGAUAAACAGCAGCUCAACCUUCCCAUAUCAUAUCCGUUAACGACUUAGACUUUAGAUCAAGUACUCUUCCCACAAGUUUAGGUUUAGAGAUAAUCUUAAUUCAUAACAGUCAUGCCUAAACUUGAGAGAGAAUUCAAUUUUGAUAACUAGUCAUGGCAGAGCAACUAUUCAUCAUUUCCAUGUGAGCUUAUCAUGAGGGUUCAUAGCAAACUUUAUUUAUUUAUUUAUUUAUUUAUGUAUUUAGCAAACUAAGCAAAUAUAUAUAAGCAUAAAAUCUUUAUUUGGGUUUUUAUGAUUAUGCAUAUUUUUAUUGUUUGAGUAAAGUAUAAACAUGAGUAGAAACACUUAGCUGGAUAAAUGGGGGUGCUCUCCCUCAAGCUGGAUUUUGACGUAAUUUCUUCAGAUGUAGCUAGCAGGUGGCGGAGGUGUAUUUGAAUGUCGGUAGCACCCUAACAGCGAUUAGGAUGUCCUCCGUCUCCUAGUCUUUUUUGAUCCUUGAAUUAUGUGGAGCUCAAAUAGACAACAAAGCUUUGUGGAACUGGUU
rnacentral:lncRNA from 1 species